rnacentral:rRNA from 1 species
AAAGAGAGUUAAACAGUACGUGAAAUUGCUGAAAGGGAAACGCUUGAAGUCAGUCGCGUCGUCCGGAACUCAGCCUCGCCUUCGCUUGGUGCAUUUUCCGGUCGACGGGCCAGCAUCGAUUUCGACUGUCGGAUAAAGGCUGGGGGAAUGUGGCACCUUCGGGUGUGUUAUAGCCUCCAGUCACAUACGACGGUUGGGAUCGAGGAACUCAGCACGCCUUUAUGG